AUCCAGAUGAUGAGUCCCAAAUAGGACGAAACACGUGUUUUGAAU
rfam:Schistosoma rodhaini strain Burundi genome assembly, scaffold: SROB_scaffold0000163